UUCAAAAUUCAGACGAGAGAUUGCCACAAAAUAAACAAUGUUGUAGACGACAAAAAAAAGUAAACACAGCGGAGAAAAAGUCAGUUUCACAUGCUACUUGUGUAGCUUUUUUGGAUACAUAUUUUCUGCUUGAUGAUUUAGCAUAGGUAGCUAGUUAGGUAGCUAGCUAGCUAGCUAGCACUUGCUAGAAAACUUUAGCUGGUGUUUUUGUUAGGCCUACCAACUAGGCUAGCUAGCUAGACUUUCAUGCAAUCUGUUGUACAUGCUAGCUAACUAGUUUUCUAACCUUGACCAGCUAGCUAGCUAUCUAAAGCUGGGAAAUAGGCUAUGCUAUGGGCACUACUCGCUAGCUAGCUAACUGGGCUCGAUUGUCUUAUCUUCCCUGAACCUUGUUCUCAGGGUAUCCGUACCCCAAGGGUAUUCCCUAUGUGAGAUGCACCCUCCUAGCUAGCUACAUGUAUCAACACACACACAAUUCCCACAAGGUCUAAGACUCCAUCCAGGAUGGGAAAAUGCUUACAAGAAAGAAGUCAAUGGAGACAGAAUUGUCCAUUUCCAUUGUUGCUUGUAAUAUGGAAAGGGAUAGAAAAAGACAAUCCCAUGUUUGUUGAUUUAUUAUUUCAGCCGGAAUGUUGAACGCUUCCAAUGUUUUGAGUUGGCUAUCUAGGCUACUCACUAUAAUAUCCUCUUAAGGAUCCACCUCUAACUGCCUGUAGCUCAGGACCUGUAGCAAGGAUAUGCAUAUCCUUGAUACCAUUUGAAGUUUUUGGAAAUGUUCCUAUAUCAAUCUUUAAGCAAGUGUGUAUAGUUAUCUAGGCAGUUGAUUCUCUUUACAGAAGAGUUAUAACAAUGUGCUGUCAUUUAUUUUAGCAAGUGUAUAUAGCUAGUCAGGCACAAGGUAAGUGAAGAGAAAGGAGGAGCUUGGGGUUUAUUUGAUAUUCACAUCAGGUACACUAGAAGUAGGAAGCCAUUCUCAUUUGGCAAAAUGUAUUAAAACCAACAAUGUGUUUGUAUUUGCCUUCAACUAUUUGUACUUGUGUAUUUUUUUUAAACAGAGCAAUCUCAUAAGAGAACAGUCUGUAUCUGUAAUCUGCAGGUAAUUGGUAGCAUACAUACAUCAAAUGUUCUUGGACAGAAGCAUAUGAUGAGAAGCACUGUGUAAGCUGCCUAUGGCUAUGGUCCAUCCAAUCUUCAGACACCAGUGAGGGUUGGGCCACUAGCCAGACCCUUUAACAGCUGCCUUUUCUGCAGCAGCCAAUGUGUGAUAGUAAGUGUUACAUGUGUGAAAUAAAAAUAAAUAAAGUUCCACAGUCAA